GACGAACGCUGGCGGUGUGCUUAACACAUGCAAGUCGAACGGUAAGGCCCUUUCGGGGGUCCACGAGUGGCGAACGGGUGAGUAACACGUGAGUAGCCUGCCCUCAUCUCUGGGAUAACAGUCGGAAACGGUUGCUAAUACUGGAUAUGAGCCUGCAAGGCAUCUUGUGGGUUGGAAAGAUUUUUUGGUUGGGGAUGGACUCGCGGCCUAUCAGCUUGUUGGUGAGGUAGUGGCUCACCAAGGCUUCGACGGGUAGCCGGCCUGAGAGGGCGACCGGCCACAUUGGGACUGAGAUACGGCCCAAACUCCUACGGGAGGCAGCAGUGGGGAAUAUUGCACAAUGGACGGAAGUCUGAUGCAGCAACGCCGCGUGCGGGAUGACGGCCUUCGGGUUGUAAACCACUUUCAAUUGUGACGAAGCUUUUUGUGACGGUAGCAGUAGAAGAAGCACCGGCUAACUACGUG
rnacentral:rRNA from 1 species